rnacentral:rRNA from 1 species
CCUACGGUGGGCAGCAUUGAGGAAUAUUGGUCAAUGGACGAGAGUCUGAACCAGCCAAGUAGCGUGAAGGAUGACUGCCCUAUGGGUUGUAAACUUCUUUUAUAAAGGAAUAAAACGAGGCACGUGUGCCUUUUUGCAUGUACUUUAUGAAUAAGAAUCGGCUACCUCCGUGCCAGCGGCCGCGGUAAUACGGAGGAUCCGGGCGUUAUCCGGAUUUAUUGGGUUUAAAGGGAGCGUAGAUGGGUUGUUAAGUCAGUUGUAAAAGUUUGCGGCUCAACCGUAAAAUUGCAAUUGAUACUGGCAGUCUUGAGUACAGUUGAGGUAAGCGGAAUUCGUGGUGUAGCGGUGAAAUGCUUAGAUAUCACGAAGAACCCCGAUUGCGAAGGCAGCUUACUAAACUGUGACUGACAUUGAUGCUCGAAAGUGUGGGUAUCAAACAGGAUUAGAUACCCGUGUAGUC